GACUACACGGGUAUCUAAUCCUGUUUGCUACCCACGCUUUCGCACCUCAGCGUCAGUCACGAGCCAGGGGGCCGCCUUCGCCACCGGUGUUCCUCCAGAUAUCUACGCAUUUCACCGCUACACCUGGAAUUCCACCCCCCUCUCUCGGACUCGAGCUUGCCAGUAUCAAAUGCCAUUCCCAGGUUGAGCCCAGGGGUUUCACAUCUGACUUAGCGGGCCGCCUACGUGCGCUUUACGCCCAGUGAUUCCGAUUAACGCUUGCACCCUCCGUAUUACCGCGGCUGCUGGCACGGAGUUAGCCGGUGCUUCUUCUGUGGGUAACGUCAGUGAUGCGGGGUAUUGGCCCGUAUCCGUUCUUCCCCACUGAAAGUGCUUUACAACCCGCAGGCCUUCUUCACACACGCGGCAUUGCUGGAUCAGGCUUGCGCCCAUUGUCCAAUAUUCCCCACUGCAGCCGCCCGUAGG
rnacentral:rRNA from 1 species